CAACAGGCUUCUGCACUCUGCCCUGCCAAGAUGACCAUGGAUGAGAACUUGGCCAAAAUUCAGCCAAGCACAACUGUUCAGCAGCCUGUGAGGCAGCCAGCCCAAGGGUGCCAGCCCACAGGGAUACCCGGUGGCGAGUGGUCAAAUUGCAGGGAUCCUCCCUGUGAGUUUCUGUUCAAGGCCUAUGGAGAGUCCGCUGGUCAGCAGUGGCAGAAGGAGAGGCAGCAGAUGCCGAGAGGUGAUGGGAUCACUACAAUGACCGAGCCCUGGAAUAGGAAACAGUAGUCCCUGCUGAUGAGGGGCAAGGUCAACAGGCAUGAGAACUGUUUAUAUCCUGAAUAAGGCUCCAGCUUCUGGAUAUCAUUCUAGGCUCUAUAAAGCCUGGCAACGUGGCCAUGGUGGUGGGUUUCAUGAUGGAGAGCAGAGUGACCUAUCUAUGUAAGAAAUCUUUAUAAAUUCCCUUUCUUGGGCUACACUAUACCACCCCAAGUGAGCAUCCAGCCGUGGAUCCUUGCCGUGUGUCCAAAGUACAGCUCAUUCCUGUUAUUAAUUUGCUGCUACAAUGAACUAUUACUAAAAGCCUGCUCUUGCCAGGCGCUGUGAUCGCCCUGCAAAGAUGCUGCCUGCCCUUGGAUCUCCAGUGCAAAGUCAAAGAGAAGCAGAGAAAAGGACACCAAGAUCUCCUUGCCCUGGUGUUAUACGCUGUAUAACCUCUUCUCCUUGAGUGCAACUGUGUCAGAAGAGUGAAUGAUGUGCCCCAGACGCAAGAAGCCUGACUGGGGCCUCCACUGCUGCUCAGCUCUGCUUUUGAAAGGAGCCCUGAAUAAUUCUUGCUAACUGUGACUAACCCUCCCCCACGCACAUUGCUGUACCUGAAGGAAAUGUGGAGUUUCCAGGGUUAGCUGCUCACUUGCACAC
rnacentral:lncRNA from 1 species